GACGAACGCUGGCGGCGUGCUUAACACAUGCAAGUCGAACGGAAAGACCCUGCUUUUGUGGGGUGCUCGAGUGGCGAACGGGUGAGUAACACGUGAGUAACCUGCCCUUGACUUUGGGAUAACUUCAGGAAACUGGGGCGAAUACCGGAUAGGAGCUCCUGCUGCAUGGUGGGGGUUGGAAAGUUUCGGCGGUGGGGGAUGGACUCGCGGCUUAUCAGCUGGUUGGUGGGGUAGUGGCUUACCAAGGCUUUGACGGGUAGCCGGCCUGGGAGGGUGACCGGCCACCUUGCGCCUGCGGUACGGCCCAGACUCCUACGGGCGGCAGCAGUGGGGAAUAUUGCAGAAUGGGCGGAAGCCUGAUGCAGCAGCGCCGCGUGCGGGAUGACGGCCUUCGGGUUGUAAACCGCUUUCGCCUGUGACGAAGCGUGAGUGACGGUAAUGGGUAAAGAAGCACCGGCUAACUACGUG
rnacentral:rRNA from 1 species